UUGGUUUUCAGUUUUGUGACGUGCGUUUCUGCGGCUCGCAGAAACACCCAGGAGCUCCGGGAGGCGUCGGCGACGGCGCAGCCUGGGACGGCCAGGCGCGGGCGAGAAGCGGGGCACUUGGGGCCCGCACGGGCUGGCGGGGAGCAGCGCGGGUCUUCCCGCCCAGCCUGCCGCGCGCAAUCGAGAUCGUUGCAGUUUUGCAAAGAAACGGAGCGU
rnacentral:lncRNA from 1 species